rnacentral:rRNA from 1 species
UACGAAGGGGGCUAGCGUUGCCCGGAAUUACUGGGCGUAAAGGGCGCGUAGGCGGAUACUUAAGUCGGGGGUGAAAGCCCGGGGCUCAACCUCGGAAUUGCCUUCGAUACUGGGUAUCUUGAGUUCGGGAGAGGUGAGUGGAACUCCGAGUGUAGAGGUGAAAUUCGUAGAUAUUCGGAAGAACACCAGUGGCGAAGGCGACUCACUGGCCCGAUACUGACGCUGAUGCGCGAAAGCGUGGGGAGCAAACAGG